UUGGUGCAUGACUGUAGAAAUUUAAGCAAUGAUGAAAACGCUCUACAUCUACACUGUCCAAUACGGUAACCACUAGCCACUUGUGACUACUGAGUAUCUGAAAGGUUCUGCUUGAAUUCUUGCCCUGGCUCUUGGCGAAGGGUCGCCCUGCCUGGAUCUGAGUCAUCCACCUAUAAGAGGGACACCACCACACAUUGGUCACUGCUCUCAAGCCCCUGGAAUACCACCCCGUUUGGCUUCUCCUGAGAUGGGCUCUCACUAUAACCCUGGUCUGGAACUCCUGGGCUCAAGCCAUCCUCCCACUUUGGCCUCCCAAAAUGCUGGGAUUAUAGGCGUGAACCACCACAUCUAGCCUAAAAUUAUAUUGUCAAAAGACUUUGUUUCUCAGUUUGGGAUAACCAGAACUCAUAGUUCUGAUCUCAACUACCAGUUUUAAUGAGGUGCUUCUUUCUAACUCCAUCAGCUGUUUUGCUAUCUGCAGAUACCACCCACAUAAACAAAAACUUUUUGGGAGUCCUCCAGAAUUUUUAAGAGUUAUCUAAACUAUUGCCUUUACCAACUGGGAACUCCGAUUUGAGAAGUGUUACCCUACGUUAAGCCAACAGCAGCCUGGCUCCUUCGUGCUGUGCAGUGUGGGACAGAGCUGGGUCCUUGUUGUCAUCAGCCAGACAAGCACAUAUUAAAGCCCUCCUGAGCCAUCGGCAUUAGAGCUUUAAAAUCAGCUCCAUCCUACCAUGCUGUCAGUCAAUCAGGUGAUCUUAAUGACCAGAUCUACAUAUCCUCCCUCCAUGCCCCCACCCCCACCACCCGCCAAC